rnacentral:rRNA from 1 species
CGCGUAGGCGGGAUGGCAAGUCGGUCGUGAAAUCCUUCGGCUCAACCGAAGAACGUCGAUCGAUACUGCCGUUCUUGAGGAUUGCAGAGGAGACUGGAAUUCCCGGUGUAGCGGUGAAAUGUGUAGAGAUCGGGAGGAACACCGGUGGCGAAGGCGGGUCUCUGGGCAAUUCCUGACGCUGAGGCGCGAAAGCGUGGGAGCAAACG